UACGUAGGCAGCAAGCGUUGUUCGGAAUUACUGGGCGUAAAGAGUGUGUAGGCGGUGCUCUAAGUUCGGUGUGAAAUCUCCCGGCUCAACUGGGAGGGUGCGCCGAAAACUGGAGUGCUGGAGCGCGGGAGAGGAAAGCGGAAUUCCUGGUGUAGCGGUGAAAUGCGUAGAUAUCAGGAGGAACACCGGUGGCGAAGGCGGUUCUCUGGGCAUGUCCUGACGCUGAGGAGCGAAAGCGUGGGGAGCAAACAGG
rnacentral:rRNA from 1 species